UCACACACACAGGAGAUACGAUUGACACAACUGCUUCAGAAUAUCAGACAUGAGUUCCUAGAUUUUUCAUUUGGAGAAAUGACAGAUCUGCUGCCCCCAUGAGAUGAAGACUAUCUUCCAGUGGAGCACAUGGAGGCAAACAGGAGUACUCAAAAAGUCCUAAAAACACUGGAGGAGAACCAGGAAACUGGACUCUGUUCAUCACUAGGACUGUGGUUGCUUUAUAACUCACCAUAGAACUCCCCGUUCUCCUCAUAGAAACGUUUAAACUGUGGGACAGUUUCUCAUGUGGAGUACAAGACAUGCUCUAGAAGUCUGGCAGCAGGGUGGCAUCCCAAACUUAGUAAUGACUACAUGGUUUCUUUGGAAGCUGCACCACCAAUCUGACCAUCGGUUUUUCCUUCU